rnacentral:rRNA from 1 species
AGAGUUUGAUCAUGGCUCAGAACGAACGCUGGCGGCAUGCCUAACACAUGCAAGUCGAACGUGAUCCAGGCUUCGGCCUGGUGAAAGUGGCAGACGGGUGAGUAACGCGUGGGAACCUGCCCUGUGGUAGGGAAUAACCGUGGGAAACUGCGGCUAAUACCCUAUGAGUCCUUCGGGAGAAAGAUUUAUCGCCAUAGGAGGGGCCCGCGUCGGAUUAGGUAGUUGGUGGGGUAACGGCCUACCAAGCCUUCGAUCCGUAGCUGGUCUGAGAGGAUGAUCAGCCACACUGGGACUGAGAUACGGCCCAGACUCCUACGGGAGGCAGCAGUGGGGAAUAUUGGACAAUGGGGGCAACCCUGAUCCAGCAAUGCCGCGUGGAUGAUGAAGGCCUUCGGGUUGUAAAGUCCUUUCGGCGGGGAAGAUGAUGACGGUACCCGCAGAAGAAGCCCCGGCUAACUUCGUGCCAGCAGCCGCGGUAAUACGAAGGGGGCUAGCGUUGUUCGGAAUUACUGGGCGUAAAGGGCGCGUAGGCUGUGCUGUAAGUCAGGCGUGAAAGCCCCGGGCUCAACCUGGGAAUUGCGCUUGAUACUGCGGCGCUGGAAGGUGGGAGAGGAUGGCGGAAUUCCCAGUGUAGAGGUGAAAUUCGUAGAUAUUGGGGAGAACACCGGUGGCGAAGGCGGCCAUCUGGCCCACAAUUGACGCUGAGGCGCGAAAGCGUGGGGAGCAAACAGGAUUAGAUACCCUAGUAGUCC